UUUUUGUUUGGUGGAAAAUGGGGCGGAAGCUCCAAUACCAAAUAUUUACCAGGAGACCUUAACUGUAAGCCAUAACUACUAUCAACAGCCUUCACUAUCCACAUCACCAAAAAUUGAAAGGUUGAAGCUAGCUUUAUGGGAUUCUUUUUUCUGAUGAAUGGGAUUGCAAAAUUUUAAUUUUGAUCGAGAGAAGAAAUACUGUGGUGAUAAGGAGAGAACAUAAAGAAAAGAACAGAUGAGAGAGAACGAGGAGGAGAUACGGCGAAAGAAAAGUAGAGCAGAGAGAAACGAAAGAAACAAAGUGGAUGUGAGGAAGAAAGGUAAGCCCUUAGAUCUAUGAAAAACACGUGUCGUCAUUUGGUGAGAAGGUUAGGCAAGAUUAGGCAAAAUAUAGGUUAAGAGAGGAUCCAGGUCCGAGAAUAAACUGUUGAGUCUUUGAGAACAAGUUUUUCGAGAUCAAUAGCAUUCUUUAUCAAACGUAUGACAAGUUCAAAAUCACUUGUGUGACCAAAAUACACUCUUCCACUUCAACUAUCUUGAGGUAACGAUGAGAGUAUUUUUCAGCUUACAUGAUUUUUAUUCCUUUUUGAGAAAAUAGACAAUAUCAUUAACUUGUCCACGGCCAGAGACCAGAAAGCGCUUACAUCAAUUUGCCUACUCACAAACCAAAAAGUCUAGUUGGCAACAGGCAAUAACAAAGUGACAUGUAGCCCUCAUUACAAAUGCGUUCAGUUAAGCCUAUCACACCUAACUUCCAACAAUUCCUAUAAAAAUUUCAUGUAGCAAUAAUACCCGUCGCCUACGGACCUCAAUUGGUGUAUAACAAAGUAUAACCAAAAUUUAAACAAGAAUAGUCUUAUAUCAGAUGUCUAGGUAAGAAACAAGGAAAUUAAGCUACUUCCUUGCCCUUGUUGUUAGGGCUAGCCUCUCCCCUAUCGAACUUUGGGGUUGAGAUACAUAUGUAGAGGCGGAGUAACCAAUUUAUUUACAGGCUUUGGCACUUUGUUCUGGCUACCAAGAGGCCUACCAAUCUUCUUCUUCUUCAGUUAGACCAGGGUUGAGUCAAGAUCAGACUCUGAUAGCCCUAGAGAUUCAACAUGCAGCACAUGAACCUUUCCACCAAGAAUGGUUUUGAGUUUCUUAGGAGAAGGAGUAUAAUGCCCUUGCCUCUCUCGCUUCCUGGAAAUAGUAGAUCUUACCAGGUUAGGGGAAGCCAAAGCAGAGGUAGCUGUAACCAAUGGCUCUUCACCACCAUCACCAGUAGAUGAGCUUCCUUGCAAAAUCGGACCCAGCGGCCUAAUAUCAACACAUUCAUUCUCAGGAACCAAAGCUUAUGUCCCUGCUUUCUCUAAGCGCCGAAUUACCGACUUCUUCUUCUCAUUCUACUUUGGAUGCGUAGCAGUAGCCUCUGCCAAGGUGCCUGAGGUUUUGGUUGUAAAAGCAUAACCAGGUGGAGGGACUGAAUGAUGGAAAUUCAGAGACCUAGCCACCGGAUUAAUAGUCGAGCUCUCAUCACACCUCACUCCAGAAUGACUGACGAGUCAACAAAUUGAGCAACGCCCUUGAAGGUUCUCAUACUCAAAUUUCAGAAUUGGUUCCACUCCUUUGGAUAGGAAGACACUACGUUCAAGCAAAAUAGGUUUCGAUAUGUCAUGAGUAAACAUAAAACGCAUCUUACCUCGCAAGAACUCCUUGUCAUAGUUGACAUAUCCACCAAGAAGGUUGCCAACCAAUUUCAGGUUGUCUAGUUCUUCGAAUAAAGGAGGAAUACCCAAAAACCUAGUCCAAAUUCGUACAUAACGACCUCAGAAAUGGGAAUAAUACCAUCUAGGGAUGGGCAUAUGGGGGCGGGGAUGGGACUCCCCAUCAAUGAUGCGGGGGCAGGGUUAUCAAUUUCCCCGCCGGGGGUACGGGGGUGGGUGCGAGGCUCACAAUUCCUUAGUCAGGAACCCUGUUUUGGGUUUUUUAUUUUUUAUUUAUUUUUUAUUUUAUUUCUUAACUCUCUAAAACAAAACAAAAGCUUUAGGGAAAAUGAAACCCAGCGAAAACUAGCAAAGGAGCCGCCAUGAUAUUGUUAAAUUGAAACCCAAACGCUUUCACCAGUGAUUGUCUUGUUUUGGGUUUUUUAUGGUUGCUAGAAACUAGAGAGGUCUUUUCUUGCGAAUUGAUAGUGACAUAGUGUUCUUUUGCUCACUCUUUAAUUGCUUUGCUUGGAUUUAAUUGCUAAUCCAUGAUCUGAUCCAACCAUUUGUUUCUGGUAAGUUUUUUGUCUGAUUUUCAGUGUAAAGUUUAGAAUCUUUGCCUUUGCCGCUUUGGUAUGGUUUCUGGAUUUUCUGAUUCGGGUGCAUGGAUUUUCUGUAGAUUCUAUUGAAUUGUUUAGUUGGUGAUGUUAGAAAUAGGGAUUGGAUUUUGGGUGAUUCAAAUGGAUGCUUGAGGUGGAUGCUUGAGGCAUAUGAGCUCUGGUAAAUGCAGGGUGGAGCCUUAAAUGAAAUGAACUGUGAAUAACUGCAAUACUGCUACAGGGGGGCGUGGUUAGGGGGAACCCAUUUCCCCGCGGGGUGGGGUGGGGAACUUCCCCUAGAUGGGAAACGAGGCGCGGGGAAUAUCAGAAGUGGGGGUAGGGGUGCGGAAGUUAGAGAAUCCCCCAUAUGCCUAUCCUUUUUUACCAUCAUAAGGUUCCAAACACACAUGAGCACAUUCAUAAUAUCAUACUCCUCCCUUAAGAACCUUAUUGCGCUCAAUGACAAUUUGAAAGGAAAUCUGAAAAAAGGUUUUCUGCUCCCUCUUAAAUUCGGAUUGGAUGUUGCACAAUCCAAGUCCGAUGAAAGUGAUUGAUGAAAGUAGCAGGAUCCGCUGCAUGCCGAGUCAGAGGUCGGCCUAGGAGAAACGAUUAGGAGGACCGGCAAACAGGGCCACCCCCAAUCUUGUCGAGGUCUGGAGCAACCCCACCGGCAGCCAAAGCCAAAGAGGCCGCAGCUUGCUGUGACAACAUCAAUGGAGACCAUAAUGAUUGUGAUGUAGUGAGUUGAGAUAAAAGGAUCAAAUAUGAGAAGGAUUGGCAUGAAAUUGUGGUCGCGGCGCUAGCGUUUUGAGGAAAAAGUAGGGUGAGCAAAAGCUCCUAGUUUCUUGGAGCAAAGCCGACUCUGUAUACAAGAUCUUCUCUUGGUAGGGUAGACUUGAUUUCUAUUCCUUCUCUUUUAUUGGAUACAUAAUAAUUUUGCAACUUCAACACAAGUUUGUGCACGCAAGGAGAUGCCUGAAUGAACGAGGCUAAUUGAAGAACACAACAAACAUUGUCUACUUCAAAGCUUAAUUCCAAAUUCCUAAGAUUUACUAACAUAGGAAGUACAAAAGUCUUCUUCUCAAGCUUGUGUGGACGUAUUUAAAGAAUCUAUAGUUGAGGAACACAGCACGAAAGUUGCGCCAAUGCAAUCAUUGUAUGAUCUACAGUGAAAGAGUACGAAAUGGAUACUCAACAAGUAGCGGCACAUUCCUGAGAACCAAUUUGAUUAUCUCAUAUCCAGCAUAACUAAAUGAGACAAGGUUUAAAUUAGAAAUAUCAACGUCUUUCAUAUCCGAACACAUAUGUAUGUCUAAGUACUUCAAUGCAAUUGAUGGACCAACAACGCUUAGCUUCUGCAACUUCCUAGAAUAACGCACCGAUAAUCGUUCAAGAAGUGGACAGUUGGACAUGAAGCCUUGUUGGUCUUGCCUCAAGGACGGUAGUGAUUAACAGAAAAGAGGUUGUUGACUAGCUUUGCUGGAAAUUAAACAAAGCAAGAAAGUUUUUGGUUAAAUCUACUUACCGAUAUAUAUGCAUGUGUUUACACACUCUAUCUACUGAUCAUUAAUGUUGAAUAAUGUGAAGAUGAUUUUUUGUAGGAAAGCUGUGGAAGACUAAAAAUAUCAGGCAAAGUUAAAAACUUAAAAUACGUACAUAUUUGGAGAGUUUGCUUAGAUAUUCUUCCCUCCCUUUGUAGACUAGUUGCAAAAAGAGUGGUGAUGGAAUCACAAUUAUGUGUGUUGUGUGAAAGCAGUUAGACUACUUUACAUUUAUGCAUGGAUUGUGAUUAUACCAAACAGGUAUUUCAUAUGAAUCUCAUUUUGAGGCAUACUUUUCAUUGGUGGGGAGCUAUCCAUGUUGAUGCUCUAACUAGGCUGAAUCAAUGUGCUCAGGAUCUCUAGUUAGAGCAUUUUGGUGAAUUAAAUUUGGGUAAAAUACUGUAUAUAUAUAUAGUCUUUGUGGUUUGAAGUCGACAUCUGUUUAGUCCUUAUGGUUUUAUUUUAAUCUGAAUUGUCCUUUAGGACUAUUUGGAUGAAUAAUCGUGACUUUAAGGACUAUUCAGAUUAAAAUAAAACCACAAGGACUAAACAGAUGUCGACUUCAAACCACAAGGACUAAACAAAUUUCAAUUCAUUAAAUUUUCUUUGUGGAGCAUAUGGAAAGAACGCAAUGACAGAGGUUGAGAGAUCAUACUUUUGUGAGAUGGAAAGCUCCUCCUUAUGGUGUUCGAAAAUUCAAUACUUAUGGGGAUUUCAAACACUCUACAAGAAAUGGAGUAUGGAGGUGUGAGUUUUGUGAUUCGUGAUUGGGAAAGAAAUUUGGCAGCAGGUGGUGCUUUUUCAAUUACGGGAUUACUAUCUGCAGAACAUGCUAAACUCUUGGCUUGUAUCAAGGCUGUGGAUUUGGCUAUUGAUCACGGUUUCUCUCCCUUUAUUCUUGAGACAGAUGCUCAAGAAGUUAAGAGACAGAUUGAGGUAGUGCAAAUGCUUAAAUACUUCGCUUUUAGGGCGAAUUUAUGAAGAUUUGUGCUUUAAAUUAGCUUAGCAGUGUGCUUGGAAGGUUUAGUAUGUCAAUAGGAAAUGUAAUUUUGUGACACAUAUAUUGGCUGCUCAUGCCAGUUCUCUGGCACAAGAGGAACUUUUUUUCUCUCCACCUAUUCUUUUACAAGCCACAAUUGCAGUUGGAAUUUGUAAUAAUGUUUAAUUUGUUUUCUCAUCUUCAAUAAAGGAUUGGCAAUUUUGAUUCAAAAAAAGAGUAUUCUAAUAUGCAAAAGCAGACAACAUAUUAUACCAAAAACUUCUGAAUCCAAUCAUAUUAUUGACUAACCAAAAAGAUAAAGCCUAAAGAAACUAUGUGAAAAAAACAAAAUUUUAAAACCAUUAUGUUGAACCUCUAGUGGCCUACGACCUCAAUUGGUGUAAGUGUCUAAAAAGCAACACAAUAUGACGGUUACAUUCAAGAGAAAAAAUAUGGCAGGGAUAGAAGCAGAAUGCCCCAACAAGACUACCCAUCCAAGCUAGAUGAAAGGAUAUAGGAGAAUUCGGCCAAAAAUAGGCCUAAUAUAUUAUUUUAUUGAAACAGUCCACCUAUGCAACGACCCUAACCGAAAAUCUCAACCCCGCCCUUCAACGUUCCAACGGCCUCCAACGACCCUCAGCCAUCACCAAGCCUCCAAAAGGCCGACCGAAACGCCUAGUUUGAAGAGAACUGUCAUUGCCUAACUAGACGCACAAACUCCCAGCCUCUGAUAUCACCAAACUUCGAUAUGAGUUCAAUAAACCGUCGUAGCCUAACUAGACUCACAGACUCCCAGCCUCUGGCCUUACAUCACAUCGUCGAACUUCCAUAUGGGCUCGAGUUUGCUUGCAUGCCGCUUUAGGCACAUCUCUCUUUCUUAGUGUCACACUGAACUGAAUGAAAAUCCGUCACAACCAAGACCCCGUUAGUAGCGGCGAGCGAGAGCGGAUUGGGGGUUUGAAGAAAAACAAACACGAAGCUUCCUACGGCAAAGUGUUCACUUCUUUUUCGCUAGAUUUCAUUUGAUUUGUUGUGGAUUGGAUGAUGGAAAAACCAGCAAGCCAAUCUCCUUGAUUCUCAAGUCGACGGCACAGUGAACUGUAAUUGUGAAAAGGUUGGAAGAUCUGGCCAAAGAAGGUGAUAGCCCUGUAGAUUCGUUCCCAUGGUUCGAUCAUUCCCAGUAAAAUGCGGCGUGUUCGAAUUCUGAUCGAUACAUCGCCGUCACUACUUUAGGAACGUACCCAACUAGAAUUAGUCAAGCCCAAUCACCCUUAGUCCAAAGUCGUCUCUUGAACCACCAUAUAGAUGCUAAUUAUCGACCUUGAUCAAGAGUUAUAAAUCACCUUGACCCGACCCAUUCAAGCUAGCCAAACAUGACGCAACCUAAACACCUCUCUGUCAUAGCCACAAACUCGAUUCUGAUCCUUCACUCCCAACAUCGAUCAGAUUGGAGCACCUAAUCCACCUUCAUCGGAAGUGACAUCAAUACCAAACAGAACCAGUCAUUGCACCCACAAACAAAAAGCAGACGCCAAUGUCGAAACGCCGGAUCGCCUCCAAGUUGAUGUCGCGCCCAUCUUUCAUAUCACCACGAUUGAGUGUCCCACCUCACAUAAUCACUCAAUCACAAGUCCUCAAUAAGACGGUCGCCGUCACCAACAGAAACCCUAGGAUUUCAAUUUGAGAUCACUCCAAACGAGUCAAAGGUCUCCUUUCUAUUUUUUGUGAUCACAUCUUAUUUCAAAAUCUUAAGACAAUUUUAAUCUUUGGUAAUUGAAGUAAGGGUAACACUGAAACUCUCUUAAUAAAAGAUGGAAAAAAAAACAUGGUAUACAUAAGAAAGAGUUAAGAGUUGAUCAAAUGAUAAAUUAUUAGUCAACUAAUUAAAUUCAUUUUUAUUCCUUCUUUCUUUUUUAUAAAUAAAUUCAUUGUAUUCCUCAUCUUGAUAUUCGUCACCUAACUAAAUUUGUUAAUGUCAUGAAUUCACCCCUUGAAAUUUAAAAUGGUCAAAUCAGUAUUUUGGAAUUAUGUAGAAUUGAAAAUAAAAAAUUUGUAUUUUCUUACAUGGAGUGACAAUAAGGGCUCUUUUAUUGUCCUUUUACAAUCGUGGCUACAAAUCUUAGACCUCCUUAAGGGCCCUUUUUUAUUGUCCUUCUAUGAUAGGGUGCGUAGCAGCUUAGGGCAUUUAUUCCUCCACGCUGGAGUCCAUCUUUUGGGAAAAAUUCAUGCAACGGUUACUUUGAGUCAAUUUGUAAUCUUCAUGCACAUGGAAACAAUGUAUUUACAGCAUAAAUCUGAUAAUCAGAUUCAUCAAAUCCACACACAAAAAGAAAUUAAUCUAAUCUGGACAGUCAAAAUUAUAGUAAUUUGAUUAAUUUUGAUAUUCAUGCAUAUGCAUCGCAAAAUCCUGUCAGCAAAAUCUAUUUGCCAAUUUAACUCUUUCAAAUGCUAUAUAAACAAAACCACCGUACCACAAAUGUCACAAAACCAGCUCUCUAUCUAAUUAGCCAUGGCAGCAACAACGGCAUUUGUACUCUUCCUUCUUUGUGUCUCUCAUUUCUCUUGGGUCUCAGCUAAAGGGGGAUUCACCAUUGACCUAAUUCACCGUGACUCACCUCGCUCUCCCUUCUACAACCCUUCAGAAACUCCAUCCCAACGCUUGAAGAAUGCCUUCCACCGUUCCUUCGGUCGACUCAGCCAUGUCAACCCAACAGCUUCCUCUUCAGUAGCUCAGCCUAACCAGGCCGAGUCCACUAUAAUCAACAACCGCGGCGAGUACCUCAUGGAGUUGUCUAUCGGAACACCACCAGUUCCGAUCAAGGCCAUCGCUGACACUGGAAGUGACCUCAUCUGGACUCAGUGCAAGCCUUGCGUUGAUUGCUACACGCAAACCGAUCCUAUUUUCGACCCCUCAAAAUCGUCUACUUACAAAACCAUUCCUUGCGCUUCAAACCAAUGCACUGAGUUGAAGGGCAAGUGCCCCACCGCGGGGAACGGUUCAAGUUCAGCUUGCCCAUACGAAGUGAACUAUGGUGAUCAGUCACACACAAUCGGAGAUAUUGCCGUGGAUACCCUAACCCUAGCUUCCACUACCGGGAGAGACGUUUCCUUCCCAAAAAUCAUUAUCGGUUGUGGCCACGAUAAUGCUGGAACAUUUGACAAAAAUGGGUCUGGAAUAGUUGGACUCGGAGGGGGUGACGAGUCACUGAUUACCCAACUGAGCACUUCUAUAGAUGGAAAAUUUUCGUAUUGCUUGGUCCCUUUUGCCUCAGAAGGUGACCAGACAAGCAAGUUGAACUUUGGUGACACUGCUGUGGUUUCCGGCACUGGCGUUGUGUCCACUCCCAUCGUCCAAGAUCAAACCAAAAAAACCUUCUUCUUCUUGACAUUGGACGCUAUAAGCGUCGGCAACACGAAAAUUCCCUUCUCAUCAUCAUCAUCUUCACCCUCUGGUGACGGCAACAUUAUAAUCGACUCCGGCACCACGCUAACCAUACUAGAACAGUCCUUCUACUCAAACCUAGAAGAUGCAGUUGACAAGGUUGUCGGUAGGGAGCGUACAUUCAUCCCAGGGAUUCCAAUGUCUCUUUGCUACACCGUGAGUCUGUCCGAAGAAUUGAAAGUGCCAAAUAUUACUGUAAAUUUCAGUGGUGCGGAUGUGGAGUUGGAGCCAAAGAACACGUUUGUUAGAGUCAGUGACGAGGCAGUGUGUUUUGCUUUUGCACCGUCGCAAAGUCUUUCGAUCUACGGGAACCUGGCUCAGGCAGGUUUCGUGGUAGGAUAUGACCUUAAGAAGAAGACUGUGUCCUUCAAGCGAACUGACUGCACCAAGGUCUAAUUUGUAUUUAGUUGUUGCAUUUUUUUUUUUCCCUUUCAUUAAUAUAUAAUAAUAGUGCUCUGUGUCCAGAACAAUCAAGAUUCAGUGUUUUCAUUUCAGCUCUUAUGAUGGUCCAUGUUAGAAGAAUUUCCAUUGUAAAGUACUUGUUCAAUUGAAUCAGAAGAGGUGGAUUCGAUAUCCUGUUCUAGUGUUCUUCGUAAUUUAUUUUUUCGUGAGUUUGUCUGCUUUUUAUUUUGUUAUUUGGGUCCUUUAGUCCUUAUACUAUACUUCUCGAUCUCUGUCUAGUUUUGCUACGUUAAAUAGUGGGAAACAAAACAGUUUGGUAGCCAUGGAUUUCACGUACGUACAUCCAAUUGAAAUGAACACUGAUUCAAAAGCAUAGCAUACUGAUAAUUGAGGUGAUGAUCAAGUUGAGCCAUCAGAAUCGAAGUUUCAAUCUUUUCGGUUAGAAUCGAAGCUGACUAACCCUGGCCUGACGGCUUGACCUCUUCAUUUUUCCAGAAAAAAAAAUACUUACCAUGCCAUCAACCCCAUUUCUUCGACCCUUGAACGAUAUACAGUAACUAAAAAAACAACGUGCAUGUUACAAUGAUAUUUCAAUUUAUUCAAAACAAAGUUCAAUGAUAUUUCAAUUUACUUUCCAUUAAAUAGAGGAUGUGGAAAAUCAAUGAAAGCACUCAUGAAAUCUUGCCAUCAUCAAAGAUGUGCCAAAAGAAAGCUCUUGAGUAAGAUUUUGCAUUUUUUUUUUCGCUUUAAAAUACUUGAGCUAGAUUCAUUUUCGUGUAUUUUCCAUACAAUCUUCUCAACCACCAUGGUUGCGAUUUUGGUUAACCAUCCUCUCCCCAUUGCAAUGGCAUUAGCAUUAUCUGUUGCAUACUUGUUGCAUUUUUCUCUAGUACAAGCUGACCGUAAUGGCGGCUUCAGCGUGAAGCUAAUUCACCGCAACUCCCCAUUGUCUCCUCUCCACAAUCCUUCAGAAACACCCUCGCAACGCGUGACAAAUGCUUUGCAACGUUCCAUCAACCGUGCCAAUUUCUUCGGAUCAACUAGUUUGUUACCUUCAUCAAACGAUCCUGAAUCCACAAUAAUAUCAGACAAGGGCGAGUACCUCAUGAAAAUAUCAAUUGGCACUCCUCCUGUAGAAAUCUCAGGAGUUGCGGAUACAGCUAGCGAUCUUACAUGGAUUCAAUGCAUGCCUUGCCGCAACUGCUACAAGCAAAAAGCUCCGCUCUAUGAUCCGAAGAAUUCCAAUACAUACAAAGUGGUUUUUCGCCCCUCAAGUCAAUGUCAAUCUGUAAGUGGAACCUCUUGCUCUGAUGAAGAUAUCUGUUACUACAAACGGUUCUAUAGGGAUGGAUCCUACAGCAAUGGAGUUGUAUCAACAGAGACAAUCACUUUCAACUCCACUAGCUUAGGUCAAACAAUUUCACUCCCACAGAUUAUAAUUGGUUGUGGGCAGAAUAACAGUGGACUCUCUAAUGAAGAUGGAUCAAGCAUGAUUGGACUCAGUCGUGGAUCAAUGUCCCUUAUCUCCCAAAUGGAUUCUUCAAUUGAUGGAAAAUUCUCCUACUGCCUUGUUCCAGCUUUUUCACAACUCAACUCUUCAAGCAAAAUGAGCUUUGGCAAUAAUGCUGUGGUUUCUGGUGCCACGGUAGUUUCUACCCCAUUACUUUCAGGUAUGGUAUAAAUGUUCACAUUAAUUUCUAAGUUUCUUUACUGCAAUGUACUGAUAUUUGUUAGUGUUUCGAUAUGUUUUCGUUUAGGAUACUAAUUAAACUUUGACAUAUAUGUACAUUUCGAUAUUUGUCAGAAUUUCUGUUAACAUCCUUAACUCCUUGGUUUCAGGAGACCUAAAAUCUUACUAUUUCAUAAAGCUGGAAGCAAUGAGUGUGGGACGAAAGAGAUUGCAAUACAACAGUACACUGAUGACAAUAGCUCCAGGAAGGGGAAAUAUCAUAGUUGAUUCUGGGACUACACUAACAAUGUUACCAAAGGACUUUUACGAUAGGCUGGAAUUGACAGUGACAAAGGCCAUAAGAUUGAAACGAGUAAAAGACGCUAGUCGCUACUUAAGCCUUUGCUACAAGACCAAAUCGACUAUAACAGCUCCCAUAAUCACUGCACAUUUCACCGGUGCCGAUGUCAAGUUGAAAGCUUCGAACACUUUCAUAAGAGUGUCAAUGGAUGUUGUUUGCUUUGCUUUCAAACCCAUUACUCAAGGUAAUGCCAUCUUUGGCAAUAUGGCACAAACGAAUUUCUUGAUAGGCUAUGACCUCAAGAAAGAGUUUCUCUCUUUUAAGCCAACUGAUUGCACUAAACAUUAAUUCUAGUCGCGUAUUACAUGACGUAAUAAGACGCAUGGUGCGUUUUCCUUCUCUGAAAGAAGAGGUAUAGUUUUCUUUCAGAAUAAGAUCAUUGACCAGAAAUGCAAUCCCAGUUUUUCACAAACCAAAACUGAAUUUCAUCCUCCAAAGUGGAAAACUAGUCGCUCUUAUUCAUCUUAUCACCUAAGAGAAAUGAUGACAAAAAUUGACAUGGAAUGCUUACACAAGCAAGAACCAAAUUUCAUUCAUAAAUCGGGGCACAUGUUAUAAUUACACUUUUCACAAGGAUAGCCUCGGAGUAGAUGAAUAUGGUAUUGGAUUGAGGUCACCCCAAAAAUUUGGGAAAAUAGGAUACAUGAAUCAAUGUUACAAUUGAAGUCGAUUGCAUGCUAGAGGAAGAAACUAAAUCUUCCUAGCAUCUUCCCUACAGUCACAUAAGAAGAGGAAGAGACCAAACAGAUAGCAGACUUCUUGAAACAAGAACAGUGUCAUCAUAACUUCACAUGUUCACCUUGCUCUCGAGCAAUGGAAGCCGAGAGAAUUCCAAGGUCACGAUUUAAGAAUGUCAAAGCAGAUUCACACUCUGAGAUUAUUCUUGUGACAGAAGAGGGCUCACCAGCAACUGAGUCGGAUGAUCCAACAGCAAGAGCAGCAUGUGAGUCUCUAAGAUUCCUCAAGUUCCCUAGGAACUGCAAUAAAUGCAAACCAAAAAAGAAAACAGACAGAUGCCUUGUUACAAAUUCAUGGUCAUUCCUUGUAAAAUUGCAGCAUCAUGGUGCACACUGUAGUGUAUGAUAAUAAGAAUUCAAAUUUCUCUCACCUACUUGGUCACAAGCUGCAUUUAUUAUGUUAUGUAUCAUCUAUGUGGGUUGUUUUAUUCAUUACUUCAGAUAAGUUUUAGUAUCUAGAAAAAGAACUAGUGGUAGGCAAAAGGAUAAUGUAUAAAGUUAUAAAUGACAGUGAUUAAGUUGAUCAGUAUAUAAAUGAUAUUACUUCACAACUCUAUAAACAAGUACUCCCAUCUCACCUGCCUAAGACCUGUACCCCCUGUCCCACACAUUCACGGAGAAAAGGUCAUCAGGAAGUGAUGACAUGUUGGGGAGCAAGAAAGAGGAAGGGAGAUAGAUGAUUUUGGUUUUGGGUCUCUACCAUUGUGCAGUUGAGGAUGCUAAACGGUCCACACCCCCCUCCUUCUCUUCCCCAAACUUUACCUGUGUGCUUAUGGCAUAUCAAAUGCUUUUGCAAUAAAAUGUCGUAACUCUCCUUUCUGUUGUUCACUUUUCUCUCCUCCUAUACACAGAGUAGUAGAUGUGAAGCAAACUCAGUUUUCUAUUUUAUUUAUUUACGCUGCAUACUGCUUACUCUAAGAAACACCAGUGAGGUUAACCCAAGCCAAGUCUAUGCUAUUGGGCGGAUUGAACACCACAGCAUUCCAUACGACAGCAAGAAGAAGAGACAGGAGAUUGGACACAGCAUAAAUAAUGUUCAAGUUGACAAAAAUUGGCCCCCAGAAACAGGAAGAAAUAGGGACUCUCUCCAAGAGCUGCAUCCUCAAGCAAAAAGUGACAAGUGCAAACAACUUUCAACUAGUUUCACCACUGACCCCUUCCAAAUACAGUACCUGAUGCCUAGAGCCUACCCAACACCAACCAGGAAACAUUAAUCAACAUGCCUAUGCUCAUUACAAUAAAUACCCGAAUCAGUCCAUCCGAAACUCAGUUCUACAACUAUGGUAAUACACUCAUACGGAUAUACUUCACUCAUAUAGUAAAGAGAUUUAGAGAGAUAGAAGCAAAAAACGAUAUUUUGAUAAAGAGUUUCCUAUGUGUUAGUGCUGGGGGAGAGUUGGGAAUUGAAGUAGGACUAGGCUAGGUCAUGGGUUCAACUGUUCAAUUCCCCUCCUAAUAUAGCCAAAAAAGUGGCAUAAGAACUAGUAAAUUUAGCUCCAGUCGAAUAAUCCUCAAAAUGUGCUAUGAGGAAAUGAAUCCACAAAUAAUGUGAUAAUAAACAAGGUACCUUCAAAAGCAUUUUGUACGCCUCCAACAAGCGAUUAGCAGCUGGCCCAAAACCAUGGAGCUGGGGUACCUCCAUCAUGUGUGUCCAGGGACGUAUUUCCUGUCAAUGGACAUUUCAAGGUUGCAGAUUAUAUUAUGUCCCUCAUACAUAUGCACACAGCAAAAACUAAUAAUAAAAGAUAGUAUGAAUCCAUGUGAUACAAUUAAUGACAGCAUUCUAUCGGAGUAGGUAAAACGCGAAAUUUUCAAAUAGCAUGGAGCAGAGACAGAAACAAAAACAAUUUUAACAUAAGCCUACUAUGUGAAUAUGGAGUCCACUAAAAAGUACAAAGCUGACCAUCAUGAAGCAAAAUAUACAGAUCUAAUUAUGCCAAAAUACUUCAGUUACAGUAUAUAGUAAGAGAUAACAUAGAAAAAAAAAAAACAGCUAGAUGUCACGACUCACA
rnacentral:lncRNA from 1 species